GCAUAUCAAUAAGCGGAGGAAAAGAAACCAACCGGGAUUGCCUUAGUAACGGCGAGUGAAGCGGCAAAAGCUCAAAUUUGAAAUCUGGUACCUUCGGUGCCCGAGUUGUAAUUUGGAGAGGGCAACUUUGGGGCCGUUCCUCGUCUAUGUUCCUUGGAACAGGACGUCAUAGAGGGUGAGAAUCCCGUGUGGCGAGGAGUGCGGUUCUUUGUAAAGUGCCUUCGAAGAGUCGAGUUGUUUGGGAAUGCAGCUCUAAGUGGGUGGUAAAUUCCAUCUAAAGCUAAAUAUUGGCGAGAGACCGAUAGCGAACAAGUACAGUGAUGGAAAGAUGAAAAGAACUUUGAAAAGAGAGUGAAAAAGUACGUGAAAUUGUUGAAAGGGAAGGGCAUUUGAUCAGACAUGGUGUUUUGUGCCCUCUGCUCCUUGUGGGUAGGGGAAUCUCGCAUUUCACUGGGCCAGCAUCAGUUUUGGUGGCAGGAUAAAUCCAUAGGAAUGUAGCUUGCCUCGGUAAGUAUUAUAGCCUGUGGGAAUACUGCCAGCUGGGACUGAGGACUGCGACGUAAGUCAAGGAUGCUGGCAUAAUGGUUAUAUGCCGCCCGUCUUGAAACACGGACC
rnacentral:rRNA from 1 species